rnacentral:lncRNA from 1 species
UGUAAUCCCAGCUACUCAGGAGGCUGAAGCACAAAAAUCGCUUGAACCCGGGAGGUGGAGCUUGCAGUGAGCUGAGAUUGCACCACUGCACUCCAGCCUGGGUGACAGAGUGAGACCCUGUCUCAAAAAAAAAAAAAUGUAAUUUACACAAAAAACUACACACAAAGUAUAUAAUUUGAUAACUUUUUGACAUACAUAUAUAGCCAUGAAAUCAUAGCUACAGUCAAGAUAACAAAUGUAUCCACCACCCCAAAAAUAUCCUCACACCUCUUAUUCCUGGGCCUGCUUCCCCUACUCCAUAUUCAGGACGCAGUCCUAAGGCAAUCCGCUUUCUGCCAUUAAAGACUAGUUUGCAUUUCUGAAAUUGGACUCAGCAUUUACUCUUCCAUCAUCUGGCUUCCUACUCAACGUAAGUAUUUUGAGAUUCAUCCAUGUUGCUGCAUGUCUCAUUGGUUCAUUCCUCUUCAUUGCUAAGUAGUAUUCCAUCGCAUGGAUGUACCACAGUGGGUUUAUCCAUUUAUCUGCUGACGGACAUUUGGGUUCUUUUCAGUUUGUGAUUAUAACACAUAAACGUGCUAUGGAGUUCAUGUUUUAAUCUUUGUAUGAACACAUGAUUUCAUUUCUCCUGGGUAUAUACCCAGCUGUCAAAUGCCUAGGUCAUAUGAUAGGUGCAUGUUUAACUAUUUAAGAAACUGCCAGACUGUUUUCCAAAGUGAUUGUAACAUUUUACGUUGUUACCACCAGCAGCUAUGAGAGUUCCAGGUGUGCUGCGUCAUCCUGGAUGCUUGCCAUGGUCAAUCGUUUUGAGUUUAGAUAUUCCAACAGGUGUGCAGUGGGAUCUCACUAUGGUUUCAAUUUGCAUUUCCCUAACAAAUGAUCCUGAGCCUCUUCUAUGUGCUGCUUUGCCAUCUGGUUAUCUUAUUUGGUGACACAUCUAGUAAAAUCUUUUGCUCAUUUUGGGCAGUUGUUACCUUAGUAUUGAGUUUUGACAGUCCUUUUUAUAUUCUAGAUACGUCCUUUAUUAGAUAUCCAUUUUGCAAAGCCUGUAACUUGUCUUUUUAUUUUUUUAACAGUAUCUUUCAAAAACAGAAGUUCUCAAUGUUGAUGAAGCUCAGUUUAUCAAGUUUUUCCUUUAUGUAUUGUGUUUUUGGUAUUGUGUCUAAGACAUCUUUGCCUGAGAUGAGAAGUUGUAUGGUUUAAGGUUUUACACUUAGGCCUGUGGUCCAUUUUGAGUUUGUUUUUGUACACAGUGUAAAGUAUGAAUUAAAGUUUGGUUUAUUUUUUGCAUAUAGAUAUUCAAUUAUUCCAGCACCAUUUGUUGACAGGCUAUUGGUAUGGUCUAAAAGUUUGUACCCUCUGCAGAUUUGUAUGUAGAGAUCCUAAUCCCCGAGGUGAUUGUAUUAGGAGGUGGGGUGUUUGGGGAUCUUAUUAAGUCAUGAGGGCAGAGCCUUCAUGAAUGCCAUUAGUGCCCUUAUAAAAGAGCCUCAGAGACCUGCCUUGUCCGUUCCACAUUGGGAGGACACAGUGAGAAGACUGUGAGUCUAUGAGGAAGCAGAGCCCUGGCCAGACACCGAAUCUGCUGCCACCUUGAUCCUGGACUUCUCAGCCUCCAGAACUGUGAGAAAUACAUUUAUGUUGUUUAGAAGGGUACAGAUUAUGGUAUUUGAUCAUAGCAGCCUGAGUGGACUCAGACAACCAUCCUUUCUCAACUGAAUCGAUGUUGCACAUUUGUUGAAAAUCAAUCGUCCAUAUAUGUGUAGAUCUAUUUCUGGACUGUGUAUUCUGUUUCAUUGAUCUAGUCUACCUUUGUGCCAAUGCUAUACAGUUUUGAUUACUAAAGAUUAUAAGUUUUAGAAUCAGCUAGUGUAAACAGUGAAAAUCACUGAGAGUUCAGAAGUUAAAGUUGUACUGCGGUUUCAAAUAAGGUACUUAAUGGUCCUUUUUCAUCAUUCAGCAUGAAUAUCCCCUACGUAUCUCUGAAGGUUGAUUUUGUUCUUUAUUUUAAGAAUAAAAUAACGUUGUGAACAGCU